ACUAACACGUGAAUUACAUGCCCUUCAGUGGGGAGUAGCCCAGGGAAACUUGGAUUAAUGCCCCAUAGUCUCGCAAGAGUAAAGGUGGCCGCAAGGUUGUCGCUGAAGGAUUGGUUCGCGCCCUAUCAGCUUGUUGGUGAGGUAACUGCUCACCAAGGCUACGACGGGUACCUGGUCUGAGAGGACGAUCACGCACACUGGAACUGAGACACGGUCCACACACCUACGGGUGGCAGCCUUCGGUGCACGCUUGGUGUGAGGGGAUUCGACCCCCCUUGUGCCGGAGCUAACGCGUUAAGCGUGCCGCCUGGGAAGUACGGUCGCAAGACUAAAACUCAAAGAAAUUGACGGGGACCCGCACAAGCGGUGGAGUAUGUGGCUUAAUUCGAUGCAACGCGAAGAACCUUACCUAGGCUUGACAUGCAUCUCUAAGCACGUGAAAGCGUGUGACCCUUCGGGGGAUUUGCACAGGUGCUGCAUGGCCGUCGUCAGCUCGUGUCGUGAGAUGUUGGGUUAAGUCCCGCAACGAGCGCAACCCUUGUGAUUAGUUGCCAGCACGUAAUGGUGGGAACUCUAGUCAGACUGCCCAGAUCAACUGGGAGGAAGGUGGGGACGACGUCAGGUCAGUAUGGCCCUUACGCCUAGGGCUGCACACGUACUACAAUGCUCAGUACAAUUAGAACCGAUACCGCGAGGUGGAGGAAAUCUGUAAAACUGGGCUCAGUUCGGAUUGGAGGCUGCAACUCGCCUCCAUGAAGUUGGAAUCGCUAGUAAUGGGGCAUCAUCUACGGCCCCGUGAAUACGUUCCCGGGUCUUGUACACACCGCCCGUCACAUCAUGGAAGCCGGUAGCACCCGAAGUAUUGUUCAAUCAAUCCUAAGG
rnacentral:rRNA from 1 species